rnacentral:rRNA from 1 species
GACGAACGCUGGCGGCGUGCCUAACACAUGCAAGUCGAACGAGGUCCAUCCUUCGGGAGAAGACCUAGUGGCGAACGGGUGAGUAACACGUGAGAAACCUGCCCCGAAGACCGGGAUAACCCUCCGAAAGGAGAGCUAAUACCGGAUACCCCCACCGAGCCGCAUGGUUUGGUGAGGAAAUGGAUUCCGCUUCGGGAGGGUCUCGCGGCCUAUCAGCUAGUUGGUGGGGUAACGGCCCACCAAGGCAUCGACGGGUAGCUGGUCUGAGAGGACGAUCAGCCACACUGGGACUGAGACACGGCCCAGACUCCUACGGGAGGCAGCAGUGGGGAAUCUUGCGCAAUGGGCGAAAGCCUGACGCAGCAACGCCGCGUGGGGGAUGAAGGCUCUCGGGUUGUAAACCCCUUUCAGCAGGGACGAAAUCAGACGGUACCUGCAGAAGAAGCUCCGGCUAACUACGUG